rnacentral:rRNA from 1 species
GAUUAACGCUGGCGGCGUGCAUAACACAUGCAAGUCGAACGAUGAAACUUUUUUGAUUUCUUCGGAAUGAUUAAAAGUGGAUUAGUGGCGGACGGGUGAGUAACGCGUGAGUAACCUGCCUUAGAGAAGGGGAUAGCCUUUGGAAACGAAGAAUAAUACCCUAUGAAACCAUAACCUCGCAUGAGGAAUUGGUCAAAGAUUUAUCGCUCUAAGAUGGACUUGCGUCUGAUUAGUUAGUUGGUGGGGUAACGGCCCACCAAGACAGCGAUCAGUAGCCGGCUUGAGAGAGUGUACGGCCACAUUGGGACUGAGACACGGCCCAGACUCCUACGGGAGGCAGCAGUGGGGAAUUUUGCACAAUGGGGGAAACCCUGAUGCAGCGACGCCGCGUGAUUGAGAAGGCCUUCGGGUUGUAAAAAUCUUUUCUAUGGGAAGAAAAUGACAGUACCAUAGGAAUAAGGACCGGCUAAUUACGUG